UCCCUCUCUUUGAAGGCUCAUGUUGCAGUUCCCCCGUAAUGAACCUUCCUUGAAGAAAGCUCGGCGCUGGAGGAAUGGAAGGUGGAGCAGCGUGGAUGCUAGAAUGCAGUAGUAUUUCCUCCUGAGUGAAGAGAGACUCUUCUUCCUGUAAUCUCCUUGUCUCUCCGUCUGAGGAGAUAUUAGCCAAGACUCACAGAUGGGAUCAUUUACAGUUUCCUUUUGGGCAGCCUUGGCCCUUUCAGAUUUUGUUUAUUCAGGCGAGGUUUUCAAACAAGUGAGGGCGGAGCAGCGAAGGGCUCUCCUCAGAUAUGCUGAUUUGGAUUAUUGGUGCUGCAGGUCCGGUGGCCGAUCUGACACAAAAUGAUGGAUGGAAGUUCUUUGGAACCAACUCCAGGACACAGCCCCAAGAUCAGAGCUGCCAGACCUCAACACUCUGCCAAUGACACCGUGCAGAACCUGGAGUCCCCCAGAUGGACCUGAUUCUGACUGGCCAUCAAGAAAAGUUCAUCUGCCUUAUUGGGAGUGGUGAGCAUUGUAUGUGUAACCUGUGCAUUCUGUUCUGGUGAUUGUUAAUAAACGGAUAUUAAGGA